rnacentral:rRNA from 1 species
UUGAACGCUGGCGGAAUGCUUUACACAUGCAAGUCGAGCGGCAGCGCGGGGGCAACCCUGGCGGCGAGCGGCGAACGGGUGAGUAACAUAUCGGAACGUACCCCAGUCGUGGGGGGAUAACUAUCCGAAAAGGAUAGCUAAUACCGCAUACGACCUGAGGGUGAAAGCGGGGGACCGUAAGGCCUCGCGCGAUUGGAGCGGCCGAUAUCGGAUUAGCUAGUUGGUGAGGUAAAGGCUCACCAAGGCGACGAUCCGUAGCUGGUCUGAGAGGACGACCAGCCACACUGGAACUGAGACACGGUCCAGACUCCUACGGGAGGCAGCAGUGGGGAAUUUUGGACAAUGGGGGCAACCCUGAUCCAGCCAUUCCGCGUGAGUGAAGAAGGCCUUCGGGUUGUAAAGCUCUUUCAGCAGGAACGAAACGGUGGUCCCUAAUACGGGCUACUAAUGACGGUACCUGAAGAAGAAGCACCGGCUAACUACGUGCCAGCAGCCGCGGUAAUACGUAGGGUGCGAGCGUUAAUCGGAAUUACUGGGCG